CACCACCCGCCGUUGACAUGGCAACCGAUGGCCGCCAGGGGGCGCGGCGACACUGGAGGCAGCGAGCGAGCAACACCAGGGCCUUCUAACGCUGGACCCUCGGUUCUCUGGGAGGCAGGGACAGGACCCAUGAGAACCCCGCCUCCGCCCAACUGCGCCAGAGCUGGUCUAGCACGAGUCAGCAAUCGCGAAAAUGGCUAACAGGUGCAGCACUCCCUGUGUGCUCAGCGUUCCUGCAGAAUCCUGAAUCCAGUCGGGACCGCCAACCCGUUUUACAGAAGAGGACAUUGAGGCUCAGAAAGGGGAGGUCAUUUGCCCAAGGUCACAGUGAUGAAGCUGGUCUAAUAUAUGAUCAAGACUCUCAUCACCCACCCUAUUUAUAGUCUGACCAGAGGACAGCAGUGGGGUUGUUGGAGGCAUACUGUCCUUCUGCAAGCACCAUGUCCACCACUUACUCUGCGCCCGUCCUCCUGUCCCUUCUCCAGAAUCUUCCUGGCUCCAGGAGCCCCCUGAUCCUUCCUUCAGCUCUUCCCCACAGAGCAGCCCAGCGAAGCUGUCCUUUCUGUCUCCUCUGCCUCAUCCCUUCAAUCUGUUCCUUCCUCUCCAGCCUAUUGUGGAGGGAGCCUGAGUCCUGGCCCUCCAGUCUGGCCUUUCCGUCUGAUCCUUGCACAGCUAGGGCCAAAUCUUUCUGAAAUCUUCUACUGUCUUUAGGAAAACCCUGAGUGUGACCCUUGCUCUUUCCAAUUCACUUUGGCAGGCUCCAGCUCCACAGUCUCCCUACUGUUUCCCAGCUUCCCAAGCCCACCUGCCUUCAGGGCAGUGCUCCCUGGAUCUCACCCCACCCGCUACCUGCCUUCCUCCAUGAAGCCCUCCCCAUUGCUCCAAGCUCUUAUCCCUGCGGCUUGACCUGAAAGCCUCCUGGGAGGAGAUGACCCUGAUGUCCCACGAGGUCCU
rnacentral:lncRNA from 1 species